rnacentral:rRNA from 1 species
UUGGGGAAUAUUGGACAAUGGGCGCAAGCCUGAUCCAGCCAUGCCGCGUGAGUGAUGAAGGCCUUAGGGUUGUAAAGCUCUUUUGUCCGGGAAGAUAAUGACUGUACCGGAAGAAUAAGCCCCGGCUAACUUCGUGCCAGCAGCCGCGGUAAUACGAAGGGGGCUAGCGUUGUUCGGAAUCACUGGGCGUAAAGCGCACGUAGGCGGACCAUUAAGUCAGGGGUGAAAGCCUGGAGCUCAACUCCAGAACUGCCUUUGAUACUGAUGGUCUCGAGUAUGGAAGAGGUUGGUGGAACUGCGAGUGUAGAGGUGAAAUUCGUAGAUAUUCGCAAGAACACCGGUGGCGAAGGCGGCCAACUGGUCCAUUACUGACGCUGAGGUGCGAAAGCGUGGGGAGCAAACAGGAUUAGAAACCCGAGUAGUCC